rnacentral:rRNA from 1 species
AACGAACGCUGGCGGCAUGCCUAACACAUGCAAGUCGAACGAAACCUUCGGGUCUAGUGGCUACCGGGUUCGUAACGCGGGGGAACCUGCCCUGAUGUUCGGAAUAACUCCCCGAGAUGGGUGCGAAUACCGGAUAAUGUCUUCGGACCAAAGAGUUAUCGCCUGUGUAUGGGCCCGCGUUGGAUUAGCGAGUUGGUAGGGUAAAACCCUACCACGGCGACGAUCCAUAGCUGGUCUGAGAGGCUGAACAGCGACACUGGGACUGAGACCAGGCCCCGACUCGUAGGGGAGGCAGGAGUGGGGACUAUAGGACAAUGGGCGAAAGGCUGAUACACCAAUGCGGGGUGAGUGAUGAUGGCGUUAGGGUUGUAAAGCUCUUUUAACCGGGAUGAUAAUGACAGUACCGGGAGAAUAAGCUCCGGCUAACUACGUG